AUAUCAAUUUUAGACUUUUCCUUGACUCUGUUAUUUCUAUUCCCACAGAACAGAAGUUUGGUCAUUCAGGCAGUAGUAUCCAAAUACUCAGGUGGCAAAGUAGAAGCUUGAAGACAACUGUAGAAGAACCAGCAGUGGGAUUGGAGCUCAUAUUCUCUGCCUGGUUGACCUAAUGAUCUGGAGUUUAAAAAAAGUGACUUGGAAUAUCUUUAGGCCGACCUGUAGAAGAACCCAGUUUGGGCAGAUUCUGGAACUUCAUCUGGUUAAUGGAACUAGUUGGGUCCAGAAGGGCACUGGCAGUGUAAGAAAUGCCUGGUGUAGAAGGAUUCACAGGGGCUAUCAUAGUCCCUCACCAGAAUUUGAAUGCGGAGAUAAAAGAAAUAAUCGGUACUUAAGAGCUGCUGAAACUGAAGGCUGUCAUGAUUUAAAAGAAGAACCUCGAAUGGUAAUUACAAGCCAAAGGUUUGAGGAGGCCGAACUCUGAGUAAGCAGAAGUCACAAAUAGGAGGAAUGACUUCUAAUGUGUCUCAAGUCGUAUGAAUGAACAGGAGUGUGAAACAUGUAAUUGGCAGUAAGCAAAUUAAGGUAGCACUGGAAUGCUGGUGUAAAGAGUCUUCCAUGUUACAAGUUUUUACUGGUCUAGACACCAGAAUAACCCGGUUUGCUCUAACCGGGGUAUCUUUACUGUUCCUUUCUCAUUAUAGGACACAAAAUUGUCUCUAUUUCCUUUUCUUUUCUUUCUUUUCUUUUUUGAGACAGAGUCUCACUAUGUAGUUGACACUGACUUGGAAUUCACUAUGUAGCCCAGGCCAGUCUGGAACUCACAGCGAUCCUCCUGCCUCAGCCACCCGAGUGCUGGGAUUACAGGCAUGCACCCCCAUGCCUGACUUGUCUCUAUUCCUUAAUAUAAAGGGGGAAUUACUCAUUUUUUUCUAAC
rnacentral:lncRNA from 1 species